AUUCAUGGUGAUGGUUGAUCAGGGCUCUGUCACUCAAACAGGCCUCUUGCUAUAGGGUUGAUGGCCAGUCCUAGUGUCUGAGUGAUU
ensembl:snoRNA